AGUGAACGCUGGCGGUAGGCCUAACACAUGCAAGUCGAACGGCAGCACAGUAAGAGCUUGCUCUUACGGGUGGCGAGUGGCGGACGGGUGAGGAAUACAUCGGAAUCUACUUUUUCGUGGGGGAUAACGUAGGGAAACUUACGCUAAUACCGCAUACGACCUACGGGUGAAAGCAGGGGAUCUUCGGACCUUGCGCGAUUGAAUGAGCCGAUGUCAGAUUAGCUAGUUGGCGGGGUAAAGGCCCACCAAGGCGACGAUCCGUAGCUGGUCUGAGAGGAUGAUCAGCCACACUGGAACUGAGACACGGUCCAGACUCCUACGGGAGGCAGCAGUGGGGAAUAUUGGACAAUGGGCGCAAGCCUGAUCCAGCCAUACCGCGUGGGUGAAGAAGGCCUUCGGGUUGUAAAGCCCUUUUGUUGGGAAAGAAAAGCAGCAGGUUAAUACCCCGCUGUUCUGACGGUACCCGAAGAAUAAGCACCGGCUAACUUCGUG
rnacentral:rRNA from 1 species